rnacentral:lncRNA from 1 species
GUGCACUGAUCUCCCCAGCUGGUUUUUGGUUUGUUGAUGUGCACGAUCAACAUCCAUGCUUUUAUUUGCUUUCCCCAUUAUUUUUAUUUUCUUUAUUAUUUCAAUAAAUCGCACAAAAGGACAACUCUCUCAUCUGCUUCUUUAUGGGAAAAUUUCCACCACAAGACACAGACACAGACACACAAACACAGACACAAACACACACGCAGACAUGCAGACACAGGCACAGACACACACACAUUCUGCAUUGGUUUCUUACAUUACGGCUUAUAAUGGUCAUGUUCUGAUGCCAAGCUACUGUAAGACAGCUCACUACACCCUAAAAGCACAGCUGCAAGUGCCGUGGUUCAAACUAGUCCUCUUAUGGCUUGAAAAGCUCUAAAACUAUGUUUUAGUGGUUUUGCAUUGGUUUCUAACAUUACAGCUUAUGAUAGUAAUGUUCUGAUGCCAAGCUACUGUAAGACAGCUCAAUACACCCUAAAAGCACAGUUGCAAAUGCUGUGGUUGAAACGUUUUUUCUUAUGGCCGGAAAAGGUCCAAAACGAUGUUUCAGUGUUUUUUGCAUUGGUUUCUAACAUUACAGCUUAUAAUUGUCGUUCAGUGGUUUAAACUAGUGUCCUUAUGGCCUAAGAAGCUCCAAAACGAUGUUUUAAUGUUUCUGCAUUCGUUUCUAACAUACAGCUUAUAAUAGUCAUGUGUUGAUGCCAGGCUACUUUAAAACAGCUCAGUAUACCAUAAAAGCACAGUUGCCUAUGCCGUGGUUUAAACUAUUUUUUUAUGGCAUGAAAAGCUCAAAAAUGAUGUUUUAGUGUUUCUGCAUUGGUUUCCACCAGAACAGCCUCUAAUGGUCAUGUUCUGAUGCCAGAAUACUGUCAAACAGCUCAAUGCAUCCUAAAUGUACAGUUGCAAAUGCCGUGUUUUAAACUGGUUUUCUUAUGACCUGAAAAGCUCAAAAACGACGUUUUAGUGUUCCUGCAUUGGUUUCAUUCAGAACAGCCUCUACUGGUCAUGUUCUGAUGCCAGGAUACUUUAAAACAGCUCAAUACACUGUAAAAGCACAGUUCAAUUCAAUUCAAUUCAAUUUUAUUUAUAUAACGCCAAAUCACAACAAAGUUAUUUCAAGGCACUUUACAAAGUAAGGUUUAAAACCUCACACAACUAAACCCAACAAAUCCCACAUACAGCAAGCAUUUAAUUUGACAGCAACAGUAGAGAGGAAAAACUCCCUCUAUAACGAGGAAGAAACCUCCAGCAGAACCAGACUGGAUGUGGGCGGCCAUCUGCCUUGACCGGUUGGGGUGAGAGGAUAGAGAGAUAGAAAAGCACAGCAACAACAACAAGCAAUAACAAUCAACAACAGAGCACAGGCAGGACCAGGACCAGGGACUGGAAACAGGCAGGAUGGUUGGUUCCGCAGCUGCCCAUCACAGACACCAAACUUUGAGUCCUAUGAUACCUGUAGGUGAGGACAGAGAGGGAGAGAGAGUGGGGGGGAGGGGGGACAGAGAGAGGGAGGGAGAGAAGCACAACUACUGGAGAGAAAGAGACAAGGUUAGUUAAACAUGGGACAAUGAUGGGAGGUUAUUGGACAGAGGAGGUAGAAGGACACAGAGGAGCUCAGUGUAUAAUUUAAGUCCCCCAGCAGUCUAUGUCUAUUGGAGCUUAACUAAGAGAUGGUUCCUGUGACUAACAAUAAUUGCCAGUGACCUGAACCAUCUCUAACUAUAAGCUUUAUCAAAAAGGAAGGUUUUAAGCCUAAUCUUAGAGGUGGAGAGUGUGUCAGCUUCUCGAACAUGAAGAGGGAGCUGGUUCCAGAGGAGAGGCGCUUGGUAGCUAAAAGCUCUGCCCCCCGUUCUACAUUUAAACACUCUAGGAACCACAAGUAGCCCAGCGCUCUGAGAACGAAGUGUUCUGCUGGGAGCAUAAGGAACUAUGAAGAUAAGAAGGAGCUUUAUCAUUGAGUACUUUGUAUUUUAAAUUCUAUCCUACAUUUUACAGGCAGCCAGUGCAGAGAAGCUAAUGGAGGAGAAAUGUGAUCUCUCUUUCUAAGUCCUGUCAGAACUCUGGCUGCAGCAUUUUGAAUAAGCUGUAGGCUUUUUAAGGAGCUGUUAGGACAUCCUAUGUGUACGGAGUUACAGUAGUCCAGCCUAGAGGUAACAAAUGCAUGGAUCAGUUUCUCUGCAUCGCUCUGAGAGAGGAUGCUUCUGAUUUUAGCUAUAUUUCUAAGGUGGAAGUAGGCGGUUCUGGAGAUUUGUUUAAUGUAUGCUGUAAAAGAAAGAUCCUGGUCAAAGAUGACACCAAGGUUCCUCACAGUACAAUCUGAAGCUAAUGUUAUGCCAUCCAGGGUGGCUAUCUGACUCAAUAGUGUCUCUCCCAGAUUUUUAGGCCCAACAAUAAGAAUCCCGGUUUUAUCUGAGUUUAGUUGAAGGAAGUUUUGGGACAUCCAGGAUUUGAUGUCUUUUAAACAACCCUGAAUUUUGACUAGUUGAUCUGUUUCAUUUGGUUCCAAGGCAGAUGAUAGCUGAGUAUCAUCUGCGUAAAAAUGAAAAUUAAUAGAAUGCUUUCUAAUAAUCUCACCUAGAGGAGACAUGUAUAGGCUAAACAGAAUUGGACCCAGCACAGAACCCUGUGGUACUCCAUAGCUAAUCCUUGUGCAUGUGGAGAAUUCAUCAUUAACGUGAACAAACUGGAAUCUGUUCAACAAAUAGGAUUUAAACCAUCCCAAUGCUGUUCCAUUAAUCCCGAUUCUAUGUUCUAGUGUCUGUAAUAGAAUGUUAUGAUCAAUUGUAUCAAAUGCAGCACUAAGAUCUAAUAGGACAAGGACAGAAACUAGACCAUUGUCCGCAGCUAAUAAAAGAUCAUUAGUGACUCUAACCA